UACAGAGGUCUCAAGCGUUGUUCGGAUUCAUUGGGCGUAAAGGGUGUGUAGGUGGCGCCGUAAGUCGGGUGUGAAAUCUCGGGGCUUAACUCCGAAACUGCAUUCGAUACUGCCGUGCUUGAGGACUGGAGAGGAGACUGGAAUUUACGGUGUAGCGGUGAAAUGCGUAGAUAUCGUAAGGAAGACCAGUGGCGAAGGCGGGUCUCUGGACAGUUCCUGACGCUGAGGCACGAAGGCCAGGGGAGCAAACGGG
rnacentral:rRNA from 1 species